GACGAACGCUGGCGGCGUGCUUAACACAUGCAAGUCGAACGGAAAGGCCCUGCUUUUGUGGGGUGCUCGAGUGGCGAACGGGUGAGUAACACGUGAGUAACCUGCCCUUGACUUUGGGAUAACUUCAGGAAACUGGGGCUAAUACCGGAUAGGAGCUCCUGCUGCAUGGUGGGGGUUGGAAAGUUUCGGCGGUUGGGGAUGGACUCGCGGCUUAUCAGCUUGUUGGUGGGGUAGUGGCUUACCAAGGCUUUGACGGGUAGCCGGCCUGAGAGGGUAACCGGCCACAUUGGGACUGAGAUACGGCCCAGACUCCUACGGGAGGCAGCAGUGGGGAAUAUUGCACAAUGGGCGGAAGCCUGAUGCAGCAACGCCGCGUGCGGGAUGAAGGCCUUCGGGUUGUAAACCGCUUUCGCCUGUGACGAAGCGUGAGUGACGGUAAUGGGUAAAGAAGCACCGGCUACCUACGUG
rnacentral:rRNA from 1 species